UUCCUGUGAUAUGCAAAGGAACGUCAUGAAGGAAAGCAAUUGAUUAAAUUUAAGGAAAAGACUUAAGUAACAUUUCAUCUUGCAUUCCAGUCUUGAAUCAUUCCAAAUAAUUAGAAUCCCACGUCUAAUGAAUUGAGAUGAUGAAGAGCUCCAUUAAACCUGGAUUGCUUAAGUUUUUUUUUAUGACCCCUUUGCAACACAAUAUAUUCAAAGACUUGAAAAGUUAUUUUCACAAUAGUUCAUGUGAGCAGUAAAGAAAACCAACUGUGGAGAUGCUUUAUGGAAGAGUCCUGAUCAAUGUGCAAAAUACAAACAAGAAAUCUUCAAGAAUUGAAAACAAAUAAACAGACUGGUUUCCUUUCAGUCCUGCUUCUUCCUGAAGUUGCCAAUCCUAUACUGCAACCUACCAGCCUUGCCCUGCUCCUACACCAUCAGUAAAUGUACUUGCCCCAUUGGUAUUGAAAUUUCAUUUAAAAAGUCAAAACAAAUGCCUCAGUUCUCAUUCUUGAAAUUCAUGUCAUUUUUUACCAUACAUCAAAACUAGAAUACUUUUCAACAACUUUAAAGCUCCAAAUUUUUAGUUUUGUUUAAAGAUAUCUUCUGACCAGUCCCAACCUGUACUUUUAAUAUUCUUGUUUAUCCCUCACCCAUGACAGUUUGCUAUUAAUUCUACCUUCACUAAGGUAUCACUGAUGUCCUUCCUAUCUUGUCUUCAAAUAAUUUAGGCACUCAUUCUGUCAUCAUGUAUUGUCCUCUUCUACUCCGUGUACCUCCCCUACAACUCCUGGAUAGCUUACAAAGCUUAAUUCAGAAAUCAUUUCCUUUUCCCUAG